rnacentral:sRNA from 16 species
CGUCAAAAUCCGUGCCUGAAAUUGCGCGUUCGUCGCCGAUCGCGUAUACUUCGUGCGUUGACGUAACACAGUGUGUUUUGCGGAAACCAACCGCAUAACCCUGAAAAAACCUCGCUUCGGCGGGGUUUUUU